rnacentral:rRNA from 1 species
UGAGGAAUAUUGGUCAAUGGGCGGGGAGCCUGAACCAGCCAAGCCGCGUGAGGGAAGAAGGUACAGCGUAUCGUAAACCUCUUUUGUCAGGGAACAAAGGCGGGGACUA